CGGGGUGAGUAACGCGUGAGGAACCUGCCUUUCAGUGGGGGACAACAGUUGGAAACGACUGCUAAUACCGCAUAACGUAUUUGUGUCGCAUGGCAUGGAUACCAAAGAUUUAUCGCUGAGAGAUGGCCUCGCGUCUGAUUAGCUAGUUGGUAGGGUAACGGCCUACCAAGGCGACGAUCAGUAGCCGGACUGAGAGGUUGGCCGGCCACAUUGGGACUGAGAUACGGCCCAGACUCCUACGGAAGGCAGCAG
rnacentral:rRNA from 1 species